GGUCUAGUGCUGUGUGGAAGACUAGUGAUUUUGUUGUUCUGAUAUCCAUUGACAACAAGUCACAGCCGGCCUCACAGCGUGGACU
rnacentral:pre_miRNA from 15 species